GGAGUCAAGUGGACUGUCGCUGCAUAUCCUUUUAUGGAUUUAUGGAGAGGAAAGUCCGGGCUUCAUAGGGUAAAACGCUGGGUAACACCCAGGAAGAGUGAUCUUCGGCAAGCGCAACAGAAAGUAAACCGCCAUUAUUAAUAAUAGUGGUAAGGGUGAAACGGUGGAGUAAGAGUCUACCAGUCGUUAUAGUGAUAUAGCGAGCUAGGCAAGCCCCGUUUGAAGCAAGACCAAAUAGGGGAACAGGCUGACCCGGCCAAUGUUCCUGGGUAGGUUGCUUGAGAAUAUAGGUAACUAUAUUCCUAGAUGAAUGACAGUCGCCCAUUAGGGUACAGAACCCGGCUUAUAGCUUGACUCCUUUA
rnacentral:RNase_P_RNA from 23 species